CGUAGGGUGCGAGCGUUGUCCGGAAUUAUUGGGCGUAAAGAGCUUGUAGGCGGCUUGUCGCGUCUGCUGUGAAAGCCCGGGGCUUAACCCCGGGUCUGCAGUGGGUACGGGCAGGCUAGAGUGUGGUAGGGGAGACUGGAAUUCCUGGUGUAGCGGUGGAAUGCGCAGAUAUCAGGAGGAACACCGAUGGCGAAGGCAGGUCUCUGGGCCAUUACUGACGCUGAGAAGCGAAAGCGUGGGGAGCGAACAGGAUU
rnacentral:rRNA from 1 species